ACCGCCCCUUCCCCUGCUGUCCUGCCACGUGGCUGUCCGCAGCCCUUCUUUCCGCAGAGGCUCCUCAGGGGAAGUUCCGAGCUGCGUGUCCAAAGAGAUGGUUUCAGCCUCCUCUGAAACGUCUUGGAACACAGAACGCGCCCGCCACGGGUUCUGACGAACGGUCCUCAGCUUUGCUUUGAAGAAGGCUCUCGCUCCUUUUUCAGGUCUGGGGUGAGCUGCUGAGCGAGGGCAUCCUGCCCACACAGCCCGGGCUUCACGCCUCUCCCCGCCUGGCCGUGCUCACCUUCGGGGGUGGUCGUCGAGCUCAGUAGGCCUGCGUGAACCCGACCGGGUCUGGCGUUGAGCCCAGCGUGGCACACGGUUUGCUCUCUCCUGCUGCGAGGGUGCGUGGUCGUGGCCCCGGGCGGGAUCCGUCCUCGCAGUCUGCCAGAAGGUUCUCCCAAAGCAAGAGUCCACGAGGAACGCGGAAGCCCAGAGUUACAAGACCGUCUGCCUCCAAAUUGUAUGAGACGCCCCCUCAGGCAUCCUUUUGCUGGUACCUUCCUCGCCGUGCACUGACCCCCAGCCCCCUGGCAGGUGGCUGUCCCGCCCCAGGAGGAGUCACGUGUUUUCUGUGGUGAGUGGCUCGCAGAUGUCGAGGCCACGCCUGGGAAGAGAGGUUUCUUCUGGAAAGCUGGCCUGAGAACGUCCACCCGCCCCAGCCGUUGGAUGGUCCAUCUCGAGCAAGAGAAGCGCAGCGGGUGGGAAGCAGCAGCUGGCUCCCAGGUGACACGGCCUUGUCGGAGCGCGUGGCGUGGCUGCACACACUCCGACGCUCAUUUUCUGUUGGUGCUGCUGCUGUUGCUGGAAUGUUCCUGCUGCAAAUCAGUGCAGGGAGGGGACCGUGUCCCCCGCUCUGGCAGCCCAGACCUUCUGAAUGAAGGGCCUUCCCUUGGAGGGGGCUUCGCUGCCUUGGGCGACUGGCCUCCCCACAGCAGGAGGUGGCGCUCGCCCUCUCAGGCCUCCCUGAAGCUGGGGAACGGACGCCGCGCUGAGCCAGGAGCUGGCGAUGAGGAAGGCAGGCUUGAAGGAAUCCCUUUGGCGGGGGUGGCAUCGACACGUGCCCUCUGCCAGGUUGCAGGGCCCAGAGCUCAGGUUGUGCCGCGGCCUCUGGGCUGCCCAGCGCGUCUGCUGGUGAGUCCGCUGGAGCAGUUCUGUGCUGACAUUUCGGCGGUGCUCGCGAUGCCACCUUCCGGCCCUCCUACAGCCUCCCGGGGCUACCCCUUUUGUGAGUGACUUUUCUGUUCCAAGCAGCCAGGGUAAGGCCGUCUUGCUCGCCAGCAGGAACCCUGGCUGAUCCUGUGGGUCAUUCAAGUUCUAGACCCACGAGGGGGUGAAAUCUCACCAUCUCCUCGGGCGCCCUGUUGGACCUCCGCUGCUGGCCACAGAGACAGGUCUGCUUCCUCCUGAGCGUCAGUCAUGAAAGGCUUCGACCCGGGGACCUCCAGGCCGGUCUGCCUGUGUGUUAGCUCCUCCCCAGUUGAAAUUCGGCACUUGUCUGGGAGGUAGGGAGGACCGGGGCAGUGAUCGGACUCUUGGGCUGAGCGGUUAAGACUUCGGUGUCCAUCUUGUCAACCCGCUAACGGAUCCACUCCAUUCCCUUGGACUCUUGAGUCUAGAUUCCAGGAUGAGGGUCUUCAUGACAUUCCUUCACCUUUUCUCAGACCUUUCCCAAGCGCCACAUGCCGUGACUUCAGGUGGCAUAUGUUUCAAUCAUGUUUGUGUCUCUGUUGGGAUUUGCCAUUAAUUUUUGGGAUGAAAUGAUUCCACGUUAUCUGUCUUCCAAGUCGUCAUUGUUUUAAAGCUUACCUCGGUCUUAUCCAUGAGCUGGAACAGUUUACAAAACAAAGAUGCAACCAAGGAAGCCCCCCUUGUAGGUCAAGUCAAGGCUGACUUACCGCGUGGUCGCUCCAACCAUGCAGAGAAUUCACGUGUUAUCUUCAUGGUCAGGUAAUUCGCAGAAGUUUCUUGAGAAAUACACAGAUCAUACAGGUGCACUUUGUAUACAUUUUUAGAUUUUUUUUUUGAAGGUUUUGAGAGACCCUGCAAGCACACAAGCAGGGAGGGGCAGAGGGAGAGAGAGGGAAGCAAGGAGCCCGAUGCAGGACUCGAUCCAGGACCCCGGGGUCAUGACCUGAGCCCAAGGCAGACGCUUAGCUGACUGAGCCACCCAGACUCGGCAUGAGGAAACAAAAGGAAAACAAUGCCUUUUGAUCAUUCACAAGGAAACUGAGAUGAAACCUCUGAUGUUCCGGAAAACUGCAUUGCCACCUUGAGAGCGAGAGAGUCGGGUGACAAGCCAGCGACAUUCCACGUCCUAGGGUCUCCACCGGCUGGCAGGCACCCUGCUGGGCCUGUGUCUGCCGUCCUGUGUCCACUUUUUAAGGGAGAUUUCCAAGGUGGAGGGGGACUUGGUCCACUCCCUCCCCCCGCAGCCCGUGCGUCAGAGCAGGGUCUGACACGAUCCCUGGGGCCGUGGUGGCCAAAGGCGCUUCCGGGGGUGGAAGGGGCCUUCCCUGGGGGAAGCCUUCCUAGUCGGGUUGCUCCCUGCGUGAGGCCCGCUGCCUGGCCGGCGAACAGGGACCCUGCUCGGUGCUGGUGACGGAGCUUCCCAUUCACGGCCCUGCAGGCCCCGCUGACGGGCAUCUGUGGCCAUCAGCCCCCAGCCCUGGGCCCGCACCCCAGCACAGCCAGGGGACCCCAGUCGCCAGGGGCGCCGCCCGCCCGCCCCCCUGGCCCAUGGCUCCCGCUCACCUGCUGGGUCCGUGUCGCUGUGUGCUCUCCGUCCCAGCAGCAGCAACCGCCCGCGCCGCGCUGUAACCUCUCGGGGAUUCGUCCGCCUGGCCCGUGGGGUGACAGGGACCGCUCUGAUCUGCGCCCUCCUAGCACUUGGCCGGCAGUUGGCCACCAAACCGUGUAAUUUAUAAGGUCUGUGAGGAGUCUCGAACUGUGGUGGGAGCAAUGGGGGGGGGGGCAAGACAGGGAACAGCCCCGGCGCAGCCACCGGCAGGCUCGCGGCCUGGGCAGGAAGCCGCCUGCGCACCUCAGGCCCCGCGUCUCUCUACCUCCUCCCGUAUCUUCCGGGUCGUAGGCAACACUGCCCGCAGCUCCUGGCACGUCGAAAACCCUCCUCUGCUGCUGUUAUGAUCGUUCGCCAUCGAAGGGUGGGCUGGCUGGCGGUAAGGGGGGGCCCAAAAUUGGGGAACGGGAGAUCUGGAAGGUUCCUUCCUUCCUUCCUUGUGUCGAUAAUCUGAAUAAAUCUGAGAAAGGAAAGACCAUUGCGAUUGGAGGGAGCAACGUGGAAAAGGUGAGACGGAAACUCUUCAUCUCUUGGGUGUUUUUUUUAAGUGAACCCUUCAGUUCCACACGUGACUACUGUCACCCAGCCUGUGCUGCGGAAUCCAGCCACCUCGCUGCCGGACACGUGCCUUGUCACGUCCUCCUGAUAUCCCACUUGACAGAAGAGGAGACGGCCCAGAAAUGUCAAGUGACUCACCCAAGCUUGCCCGGCCAGCCCGCCAUCGAGCGGGGCCAGAGCCCAGGCAGGUGGCUCUGGGCUCACGGGUGCAGGGGCCCUGGGCAUGCCACCGAGGCCCAGCGCAGUGAGGGGACCAGACGCCACUGCUCAUGCGGUGGUCACCAGCGCCCUGUGCCGGGGCCCAGACCCCACAGUGGCACGGAGGACUGGCUAGGGCGGGUGUCCCGGGAGUGGACUGCGUGGUGGGCCGGGUAUGGAGCCGCUUGUGAGGGUCCCCGGCAGGGCGGCCGAGGUAGGGCGGGCAGAGGGGACGUGCAGCUGCCGGGUGGCCCGGCCUUCCGAGGACGAUCGUCCCCGUACAUGGCACAGCCCUCGGGAUGCAGGCCGAGCCACACAGCCUGUGCUUAGACCACACCGAGGCCAAUCGAGUCACAGGUUGAAGAUGAACCUGCUGCCGCACGGGGUGGACCCGGAGGGGAGCCUGGGGGUGGUUCUGCCCGAAGGACACCGCAGCUUCUCCGGGUGGACGGGCGGCGUGCCCUGGUGCGUCUACGGGCCUGAGACAGUUCACUAAGGCAGCUGCCGCCGCGGGGACGCAAGACGUCUGUCCUGAGGUGCGGCCUGCUGCGGCGUGGCCGCCCGGAGCCCUCAGCUGUCUUGGGUGGGACGGCGACCUCACGGACUCAGGCUGGUACUUGGAAAGGGCGUUUCUGCUUUGUUGACUUGCAAUGACAGCAGGGCCCGCUGCUUUGAUUUGCACCUGACCCGACCAGAGGCUGAUGCUGUGCAGGGUGACCCACGUGGCGGGACGGUCUCAUCCUAGCAACACAAUAUUUAUCCGCACAGCAGACAGUCAAGCUGCUAAUUCAAGAUGCAAUCUUUUCCAGGGACUCAGCCAAUGCAGUAAAAAACAACUUUCCCCAUUCCUCACACGGGCACCCGCUGGUUCUCGGAAAAACAGCCACAGGUUAUUUCUUGUGAGCCACCGACGUAAAGCUUGUUUACUGAUGGCCUUUUUAAUGAGUAUUUUUAUAUUAAAUAAUCACUGUUUUAAAAAAAGAUCAGUGACAGGACACCCAAGCACAGACUCCCAGAAAUCUUGGCUUUCCUUUGUGCACUUUAAAAGUAGAAUUUUAGACUUUGCUUCUUUUAAUUUGUAGAUUCUUACCUGAUUACAAAAGGAAUACACACAUGGGAAAAGUCUUGAAAAUACACAAAAGAGUGCAGACAAAAGGAGACAAUCAUAGAGAUAAUCACUAGCAAUCUGGGGGUAAUAGUUCUUUCCACCUGGUUUCCUUUAAUCAAUCAUAAACAGACACACAUUCUUUUAUAACUCAUGGGGGUGUGCAUGCGUGUAAAAUACAGGGGUUGGCAAACUACGGCCUGCACUCAUCCCUACGUAUUGUCUGUGUUAACAGCAGUGGGGUUGAGUGGUUGUGAAGAGACCAUACGGCCCACAAACCUGGAAAUACUGUCUGGCCAUUGACAGAAAGGUCUUCCACCCAUUUGGUAUGUCAGGCACCCUGUUGCCAGUAGAUUUGCUUCAGAAUUGAGUGUUCAGGGGGGAAUCCGUGGGGAGCUCAGCGGUUUGGCACCUGCCUCCAGCUUAGGUCGUGACCCCAGGGUCCCAGAUCGAGUCCCACAUCGGGCUCCCUGCAUGGAGCCUGCUUCUCCCUCUGCCUGUGUCUCUGCCUCUGUCUGUGUCUCAUG